GCCUAACACAUGCAAGUCGAGCGACUCUCUUCGGAGAAGAGCGGCGGACGGGUGAGUAACGCGUGGGUAACCUGCCCUGUACACACGGAUAACAUACCGAAAGGUAUGCUAAUACGGGAUAAUAUGUUUUGAUCGCAUGGUCGAAAUAUCAAAGCUCCGGCGGUACAGGAUGGACCCGCGUCUGAUUAGCUAGUUGGUGAGGUAAUGGCUCACCAAGGCGACGAUCAGUAGCCGACCUGAGAGGGUGAUCGGCCACAUUGGAACUGAGACACGGUCCAAACUCCUACGGGAGGCAGCAGUGGGGAAUAUUGCACAAUGGGCGAAAGCCUGAUGCAAGCAACGCCGCGUGAGCGAUGAAGGCCUUCGGGUCGUAAAGCUCUGUCCUCAAGGAAGAUAAUGACGGUACUUGAGGAGGAAGCCCCGGCUAACUACGUGCCAGCAGCCGC
rnacentral:rRNA from 1 species